rnacentral:rRNA from 1 species
AUUGAACGCUGGCGGCAUGCCUUACACAUGCAAGUCGAACGGUAACGGGCCUUCGGGUGCCGACGAGUGGCGAACGGGUGAGUAAUGUAUCGGAACGUACCUUUCAGUGGGGGAUAACGUAGCGAAAGUUACGCUAAUACCGCAUAUUCUGUGAGCAGGAAAGCAGGGGAUCGCAAGACCUUGCGCUGAUUGAGCGGCCGAUAUCAGAUUAGCUAGUUGGUGAGGUAAAGGCUCACCAAGGCGACGAUCUGUAGCGGGUCUGAGAGGAUGAUCCGCCACACUGGAACUGAGACACGGUCCAGACUCCUACGGGAGGCAGCAGUGGGGAAUUUUGGACAAUGGGGGCAACCCUGAUCCAGCCAUGCCGCGUGAGUGAAGAAGGCCUUCGGGUUGUAAAGCUCUUUCGGCCGGGAAGAAAUCGUAUCAGCUAAUACCUGGUGCGGAUGACGGUACCGGCAUAAGAAGCACCGGCUAACUACGUGCCAGCCGCCGCCGUAACAC